rnacentral:rRNA from 1 species
AUUGAACGCUGGCGGCAGGCCUAACACAUGCAAGUCGAGCGGAUGAAGGGAGCUUGCUCCUGGAUUCAGCGGCGGACGGGUGAGUAAUGCCUAGGAAUCUGCCUGGUAGUGGGGAUAACGUCCGGAAACGGGCGCUAAUACCGCCUACGUCCUUAGGGAGGAAGUGGGGGGUCUUCGGGCCUCCCGCUCUCAGGUGAGCCUAGGUCGGAUUAGCUAGUUGGUGGGGUAAAGGCCUACCAAGGCGACGAUCCGUAACUGGUCUGAGAGGAUGAUCAGUCACACUGGAACUGAGACACGGUCCAGACUCCUACGGGAGGCAGCAGUGGGGAAUAUUGGACAAUGGGCGAAAGCCUGAUCCAGCCAUGCCGCGUGUGUGAAGAAGGUCUUCGGAUUGUAAAGCACUUUAAGUUGGGAGGAAGGGCAGUAAGUUAAUACCUUGCUGUUUUGACGUUACCAACAGAAUAAGCACCGGCUAACUUCGUG